rnacentral:rRNA from 1 species
AGAGUUUUGAAUCUGGCUCAGGACGAACGCUGGCGGCGUGCCUAAUACAUGCAAGUCGAGCGGACAGAUGGGAGCUUGCUCCCUGAUGUUAGCGGCGGACGGGUGAGUAACACGUGGGUAACCUGCCUGUAAGACUGGGAUAACUCCGGGAAACCGGGGCUAAUACCGGAUGGUUGUUUGAACCGCAUGGUUCAGACAUAAAAGGUGGCUUCGGCUACCACUUACAGAUGGACCCGCGGCGCAUUAGCUAGUUGGUGAGGUAACGGCUCACCAAGGCAACGAUGCGUAGCCGACCUGAGAGGGUGAUCGGCCACACUGGGACUGAGACACGGCCCAGACUCCUACGGGAGGCAGCAGUAGGGAAUCUUCCGCAAUGGACGAAAGUCUGACGGAGCAACGCCGCGUGAGUGAUGAAGGUUUUCGGAUCGUAAAGCUCUGUUGUUAGGGAAGAACAAGUGCCGUUCAAAUAGGGCGGCACCUUGACGGUACCUAACCAGAAAGCCACGGCUAACUACGUGCCAGCAGCCGCGGUAAUACGUAGGUGGCAAGCGUUGUCCGGAAUUAUUGGGCGUAAAGGGCUCGCAGGCGGUUUCUUAAGUCUGAUGUGAAAGCCCCCGGCUCAACCGGGGAGGGUCAUUGGAAACUGGGGAACUUGAGUGCAGAAGAGGAGAGUGGAAUUCCACGUGUAGCGGUGAAAUGCGUAGAGAUGUGGAGGAACACCAGUGGCGAAGGCGACUCUCUGGUCUGUAACUGACGCUGAGGAGCGAAAGCGUGGGGAGCGAACAGGAUUAGAUACCCUGGUAGUCCACGCCGUAAACGAUGAGUGCUAAGUGUUAGGGGGUUUCCGCCCCUUAGUGCUGCAGCUAACGCAUUAAGCACUCCGCCUGGGGAGUACGGUCGCAAGACUGAAACUCAAAGGAAUUGACGGGGGCCCGCACAAGCGGUGGAGCAUGUGGUUUAUUCGAAGCAACGCGAAGAACCUUACCAGGUCUUGACAUCCUCUGACAAUCCUAGAGAUAGGACGUCCCCUUCGGGGGCAGAGUGACAGGUGGUGCAUGGUUGUCGUCAGCUCGUGUCGUGAGAUGUUGGGUUAAGUCCCGCAACGAGCGCAACCCUUGAUCUUAGUUGCCAGCAUUCAGUUGGGCACUCUAAGGUGACUGCCGGUGACAAACCGGAGGAAGGUGGGGAUGACGUCAAAUCAUCAUGCCCCUUAUGACCUGGGCUACACACGUGCUACAAUGGACAGAACAAAGGGCAGCGAAACCGCGAGGUUAAGCCAAUCCCACAAAUCUGUUCUCAGUUCGGAUCGCAGUCUGCAACUCGACUGCGUGAAGCUGGAAUCGCUAGUAAUCGCGGAUCAGCAUGCCGCGGUGAAUACGUUCCCGGGCCUUGUACACACCGCCCGUCACACCACGAGAGUUUGUAACACCCGAAGUCGGUGAGGUAACCUUUAUGGAGCCAGCCGCCGAAGGUGGGACAGAAUGAUUGGGGUGAAGUCGUAACAAGGUUA